UUGUAACGUUGGUGUGUCAACAUCGAGUUUUGAGGAGUUAUUUUUGGGUUUAUCCCAUGCAUACUAACUAACUAGCUGGUAAUCUGCCCAAUGCGCAGAAUGAUGAACUAUAAGAGAUUAUGAAUUUUUGAACCAUAUAGAUAUUUAUUGAUGUAAUUUUAGUAUAUUGUAUGGAAAUAAAUCUAUAAGAGUAAGUUUAGACUUAUAUAAAUUUAUUCUAAAUUUAAGAUAAAACAAAACAUAAGUAAUAAAAUUAUUGUUUUCAUAGUAUAAAUUAUGAAAAUAAAAUAAUACGAAACAUAAGCAAUAAGAUGAAAAAAUGCUAGAUAAAACAAAUUAUAAAGAAACAGACAAAAUAUACUGAUAAAACCACACAAUUGAUGCGAUACUAUUUCCAUCUUGCAACUAUUUAGAAGUCUCUCACCUUAAUUUUCCACAUAGACUUCUUUAGAUUGAUAUUUAAAACACACAGCACAAAACUACAUACUCAGUGAUAACUUUCACCUUGAUUUUCCACAUAGACGUCUUUGGCUUUAUAUCAGAGAUGAAAUCCAUGAUUCUUUCUUUUUGAUACGUAGAAAAAUGGUAGGCUGUAAUGUCGAUGAAUUUCUGUCCCUUGAUAUAUAUAGGAUCACUUAUAGGGUUUUGCUUAUGAAAAAUUAGAGAGUCAAAGAUUUUAUCUGGCGUAAAUAAAACCGUGUGAACCCCUAAAUUUUAGCUAAUUUUUUUUAAAAAAAAUUAUGUAAGUAAUAUAAUUAAAAAAGGGCAAUUUUCCAUAAUAACAUUUUUUUUGUUUUUGUCUCAAAAAUAGGGUGGGAAGCUAAACAUCACAAAAUAGUAUUUAUUAACUGUUCAAAAGACUCUAAUACCCUCAACAAUUAAUACAACUAACAAAAAAAGACGUUUCUUCUCUCGGCGUCGUCUCCUAGAAUCUCUCUCUCACGACGGCGGCACCAAGACGACGAGCACUGUUAUCAACUCCGGCGACGACGAGCACUGCCAUCAACUCUGGCGACGACGAGCAUUGUCAUCAUCUCCGACGAAAGUACGAAGCUUUGAUUAUAUUCUCGCUGAUCUCUCUCUCAUGAUGGUGGCAUCAAGGCGACGAAAUCCCAAUCAACUCCAACGAAAUCACGAAGCUUUGAUUCUCCAACGCCAUCUCGAACAAAACAAUUCAGGAUUCACUUUGAGCAGUACAAAAGCUAAAAAACAAGAUGGGAGAUUCUGAUUUCGGAUGGACUAGGCUUGAUAAAGAGGAUGAUACACAUGUCACUACCAAAGAAAAGUCAAGAUAUAGAUAUGAUGGGAUGCUAGAUAUAGAAACAAUUACCAAUCCCAAAGACAGAACUGUGGCUCCUUUGCUGAAGCAUCCCAAGGAAACAAAGGAAAUUGUGAAGGUUUAGGUUGAUGUGUUAGAGAGGAGCUUGAGGUAUUCAGAAGAGUAACCAACAUCCCUCUGUAUGUCUAGAAACAAUCUCCUCUGUGGUCCUUUCAUGUGAAGCUCUUAUUCUUGUAUUAGUUGUUUUGUUUUGUGACUGGUUGAAUACCCCUUCUUAUUACAUGUACCUCCAUGAGAAAUACAUUUUGGAAAACUCAUGAAGU